rnacentral:pre_miRNA from 1 species
UCUUAUGGAUGAGCAAAAAAGUAGUUUCUUGAGAUGGAACCUGCUCAUUGUAAAGAUGCUGUGAA